rnacentral:misc_RNA from 1 species
GAUGAAGAACGCAGCGAAAUGCGAUAACUAAUGUGAAUUGCAGAAUUCCGUGAAUCAUCGAGUCUUUGAACGCACAUUGCGCCCCCUGGUAUUCCGGGGGGCAUGCCUGUUCGAGCGUCAUUUCACCACUCAAGCCUCGCUUGGUAUUGGGCAACGCGGUCCGCCGCGUGCCUCAAAUCGACCGGCUGGGUCUUCUGUCCCCUAAGCGUUGUGGAAACUAUUCGCUAAAGGGUGUUCGGGAGGCUACGCCGUAAAACAACCCCAUUUCUAAGGUUGACCUCGGAUCAGGUAGGGAUACCCGCUGAACUUAAGCAUAUCAAUAAGCGGAGGA